AUUGAACGCUGGCGGCAGGCUUAACACAUGCAAGUCGAGCGGGGUGAUGGUGCUUGCACUAUCACUUAGCGGCGGACGGGUGAGUAAUGCUUAGGAAUCUGCCUAUUAGUGGGGGACAACAUCUCGAAAGGGAUGCUAAUACCGCAUACGUCCUACGGGAGAAAGCAGGGGAUCACUUGUGACCUUGCGCUAAUAGAUGAGCCUAAGUCGGAUUAGCUAGUUGGUGGGGUAAAGGCCUACCAAGGCGACGAUCUGUAGCGGGUCUGAGAGGAUGACCCGCCACACUGGGACUGAGAGACGGCCCAGACUCAGACGGGAGGCAGCAGUGGGGAAUAUUGGACAAUGGGGGGAACCCUGAUCCAGCCAUGCCGCGUGUGUGAAGAAGGCCUUAUAGUUGUAAAGCACUUUAAGCGAGGAGGAGGCUCGUUUAGUUAAUACCCAAGAUGAGUGGACGUUACUCGCAGAGUAAGCACCGGCUAACUCUGUGCCAGCCGCCGCCGUAA
rnacentral:rRNA from 1 species